rnacentral:rRNA from 1 species
UCGAGGGGUAUAGUUCUUCGGAACUAGAGACCGGCGCACGGGUGCGUAACGCGUAUGCAAUCUACCUUUUACAGAGGGAUAGCCCAGAGAAAUUUGGAUUAAUACCUCAUAGUAUUAUGAAAUGGCAUCAUUUUAUAAUUAAAGUCACAACGGUAAAAGAUGAGCAUGCGUCCCAUUAGCUAGUUGGUAAGGUAACGGCUUACCAAGGCUACGAUGGGUAGGGGUCCUGAGAGGGAGAUCCCCCACACUGGUACUGAGACACGGACCAGACUCCUACGGGAGGCAGCAGUGAGGAAUAUUGGACAAUGGGCGCAAGCCUGAUCCAGCCAUGCCGCGUGCAGGAUGACGGUCCUAUGGAUUGUAAACUGCUUUUAUACAGGAAGAAACACUGGUUCGUGAACCAGCUUGACGGUACUGUAAGAAUAAGGAUCGGCUAACUCCGUGCCAGCAGCCGCGGUAAUACGGAGGAUCCAAGCGUUAUCCGGAAUCAUUGGGUUUAAAGGGUCCGUAGGCGGUUUAAUAAGUCAGUGGUGAAAGCCCAUCGCUCAACGGUGGAACGGCCAUUGAUACUGUUAAACUUGAAUUAUUAGGAAGUAACUAGAAUAUGUAGUGUAGCGGUGAAAUGCUUAGAGAUUACAUGGAAUANCAAUUG